rnacentral:rRNA from 1 species
GCACAAGCAGCGGAGCGUGUGGUUUAAUUCGUUGCUACACGAAGAACUUACCUGGGUUUGACAUAUAGGUUGUAGGGAACUGAAAAGGGACCGACCUUCGGGGAGCCUAUACAGGUGUUGCAUGGCUGUCGUCAGCUCGUGUCGUGAGAUGUUCGGUUAAGUCCGCUAACGAGCGCAACCCUCGUCGUAUGUUAUAUGUGUCAUACGAGACUGCCGGUAAAAAGCCGGAGGAAGGUGAGGAUGAUGUCAAGUCAGCAUGACCUUUAUAUCCAGGGCUACACACACGCUACAAUGGUCUGUACAAUGGGUAGCCAAGCCGCGAGGCGGAGCCAAUCCUGAAAGCAGGCCUCAGUUCAGAUUGCAGUCUGCAACUCGACUGCAUGAAGCCGGAGUUGCUAGUAACCGCAGGUCAGCAAUACUGCGGUGAAUACGUUCCCGGGUCUU